GCGACAUUGGUAAGACGUACACAUCGCGAGGUUCUGGUGCGACGGUCAUGGAAGACUCAACAAAAAACAUCUGUGGGCUGACGAUGAGGAGGCUGCCGCCCUUGAAGGUCCCGGUGACUUGCCGCACGAUGGAGCAGGUGGCCGUGGAACCCGGCAAAUUCGUUUUAUACCACACCUUCGAAGAUUGGUACCCGUCCUACGCCUCCCUCUCCAUCCUGCCUGACGACAUCUGGGUUGUCACCUAUCCCAAAACAGGUGAGACCACAAAAGUGUGAUAACUUAUUGCAGUCUUCCAUACAAUGUGCUUAUUUCUCGCCGUAAAGUUGAUCCAUUUAUCGCUUGAUUGUACGGAGCGUCCCUCUAAUUUGCUUUAAUUCUCAAAA